rnacentral:rRNA from 1 species
GUGGGGAAUAUUGGGCAAUGGGGGCAACCCUGACCCAGCAACGCCGCGUGAGGGAAGAAGGUUUUCGGAUUGUAAACCUCUGUCCUAUGGGAAGAAGGAAGUGACGGUACCAUAGGAGGAAGCCCCGGCUAACUACGUGCCAGCAGCCGCGGUAAUACGUAGGGGGCGAGCGUUGUCCGGAAUUACUGGGCGUAAAGGGUGCGCAGGUGGCUUGACAAGUCAGAUGUGAAAUACCGAUGCUUAACGUCGGGGCUGCAUUUGAAACUAUGAGGCUGGAGUGCAGGAGAGGUAAGCGGAAUUCCUAGUGUAGCGGUGAAAUGCAUAGAUAUUAGGAGGAACACCAGUGGCGAAGGCGGCUUUCUGGACUGUAACUGACACUGAGGCACGAAAGCGUGGGGAGCAAACAGGAUUAGAAACCCCAGUAGUCC